CUCAUACCCUUUACUGAAAAUGUCUUUAUACUUUGAUAUCCUGACUUGGUCUCCGAUUUUCAGCGCUGGUUUAAUCCUUUUACGAUUGAAAUACUCCCCGUAAAUGUUUUUCCACACUGAGUGUGUUUUCAUGCGUCACCGCUGCAGGAGCGCACCGGAUUGUUCUGUGUACUGUGUGGUUGCAGCUAUAUAUCAGAUCAGCCAGAAUAUCCACAUAGCGGAACGUAUUGCGCGCAGUAAAAUAGCGCCACAUUUUAGUUUUUAAUGUUCUGUUAAAACGCUCCACAAUAGCGGCCUUCACCAUAUUAUUUGUUAUAAAGUGUAUAAUCUCACAUUUUUUAAAGACUGCUUUUACACUCUUGUUAAGGAAUUCUUUGCCUUUGUCCGUUUGCAACUUUUGAGGUACACGACCCGUUGCAAAUAUAUUCUGAAAAGCAUCAGCAACGGUUUUUCCUGAUUUAUUCUUCAAAGCCACAGCCCAGGCAUAUUUUGACAGCACAUCUAUGACGGUCAGUAUAUAUUUUAUACCAUCAUUUUGCUUAGCAAAGUCAAUCAUUGACACAAGAUCAGCUUGCCAUUGUUCGUCAAUAUUAGAGACGCAAAUCUUAUUGCGCUCAAAUCGUCGCCUUGCUGGCCUGUGUAACGUGUAAGCGUCCUGUUCUGUCAGCCAUUCUUUAACAACUGUUCUUUUUAUGUUAUGUUUUUUAAUUGAGUUAUAUAAUUUAUCAAUAUCACCGUAGCUACCUGCUUCUCUUGGUGUGUAAUAUAUGGAUUUUAAUACUGAUUUAUUAAUGCUGUUUGGCAUCAUGAUUAAAGAAUACUAUUCACCUGUUUAUCUUGUUACAGCUGUCACCCUGAGAGCCUAGACUGUAAAUGCCAGCUGGCUGUCAACAAUCAUACUGUACCCUGUGUUUAAGGAAAACAUUUCAAUUGUUGAUUUUGUUACGGCUGUCAUCCUGUCUUGGUUGUAGAUGCCAUCUGUCUGUCAUUGCUCAUCUAAGCACUAUUGGUUUUAGAUCUAAUUGCAUUGCCAUACGUGUCUAAUAAACAUUGCUAUAUGACUUAAUUUGGUAUUUAUUUAUUUCACAGAUUUAUAUAAACUUGCCCUCUGGGUUUGUUUUCUACUUUCAAAACAGGUCCCAGACACAUCAUCCAAAAAACAUGUCCAGAACUGUUCCCCUUUAUUCAGUAAUAUCCAUCCUCUAAAUGAAAUUAUUUUUUUGGGGCUAUUAUGGGUUUGUUCUCUACUUUCAAAACUGAUUGUUGAGUAGAACGUCUCAAUUUAAGCACAUUACCGCUUGGAAUGAUAAGGGUGAAUUUGUUUAUAAAAACACUGUUGUACCGGGAUCAAAUAUACUCGAUUUGGUACGUAGUGUUACCCAGAGUCACAAUGUUACGGUACGUAAAUUACCUCUGGGCUGGGAUACUUUUCUUCAGGCUAUGGCUGACCUGAACGUACCGUCUACCGUUGUGGGCAACACAUCAAAUAGAGACUAUUUGGAACAAUUGAAAUUGCGGAUCCUUCCAAGCGAGACUCGGGACAUAACACCCCAUUUUCAAAAGAGACAAUCGUUACCAAAUAUUUCUUUUAGCACCCCGGGAUUAACUACAUCUCACGGCUAUUUGCUACCUAAGAAGCGCCCCCGUAUACUAAAG